CGGGGUGCAGCAGGCGCGAAAACUUUACAAUGCGGGAAACCGUGAUAAGGGGACACCGAGUGCCAGCAUCAUAUGCUGGCUGUCCAGGUGUGUAAACUACACCUGUUAGCAAGGGCCGGGCAAGACCGGUGCCAGCCGCCGCGGUAACACCGGCGGCCCGAGUGGUGAUCGUGAUUAUUGGGUCUAAAGGGUCCGUAGCCGGUUUGGUCAGUCCUCCGGGAAAUCUGACGGCUCAACCGUUAGGCUUUCGGGGGAUACUGCCAGGCUUGGAACCGGGAGAGGUAAGAGGUACUACAGGGGUAGGAGUGAAAUCUUGUAAUCCCUGUGGGACCACCUGUGGCGAAGGCGUCUUACCAGAACGGGUUCGACGGUGAGGGACGAAAGCUGGGGGCACGAACCGGAUUAGAUACCCGGGUAGUCCCAGCCGUAAACGAUGCUCGCCAGGUGUCAGGCAUGGCGCGACCGUGUCUGGUGCCGCAGGGAAGCCGUGAAGCGAGCCACCUGGGAAGUACGGCCGCAAGGCUGAAACUUAAAGGAAUUGGCGGGGGAG
rnacentral:rRNA from 1 species